rnacentral:rRNA from 1 species
GAUGAACGCUAGCUACAGGCUUAACACAUGCAAGUCGAGGGGCAGCAUGUCGGUUGCUUGCAACCGACGAUGGCGACCGGCGCACGGGUGAGUAACGCGUAUCCAACCUACCCUUGUCCAUCGGAUAACCCGUCGAAAGGCGGACUAACACGAUAUGCGGUUCUCAGCAGGCAUCUAACGAGAACGAAAUGUGAAGGAGCAGGAUGGGGAUGCGUCUGAUUAGCUUGUUGGCGGGGUAACGGCCCACCAAGGCGACGAUCAGUAGGGGUUCUGAGAGGAAGGUCCCCCACAUUGGAACUGAGACACGGUCCAAACUCCUACGGGAGGCAGCAGUGAGGAAUAUUGGUCAAUGGACGAGAGUCUGAACCAGCCAAGUAGCGUGCAGGAAGACGGCCCUAUGGGUUGUAAACUGCUUUUAUAGGGGGAUAAAGUGUGCCACGUGUGGCAUAUUGCAGGUACCCUAUGAAUAAGGACCGGCUAAUUCCGUGCCAGCCGCCGCGGUAAAAC